rnacentral:pre_miRNA from 1 species
UAUUAAAACUUCUAUCAAUUUGUACUAUAAAAACUAGCACGGUUGAUAAAAUAAUCAAAUAGUAACAUGUAACAUGCCAUAUGUAUCUCAUACUAUCAUACAUGGACUAAUGUUUAACAAUAGAAAUGAAUAAAUUUUUUAACA